rnacentral:misc_RNA from 1 species
AAUAAAAAAAAAAAGAAUAUAUUUGUUACAUGCAUGAGACAACACCUCCCAACACCUGGCGCAAUCACCUUUUGGCCCAAGGCGAUCACCUUUUCAAAUCCAGGUGAUCCUUAGUUAGGCGAGUCGCUACUUUGACACCUUUAAGCACCCCUAACGAUACUGAACUUGACUCAACUGCAUUUUCACUCUUCUAGCUCCAACA